CUCGGAUUGCUCUGCUAUUAGUCUGAGGAAACAGACAGCAACAACGCUGAUUACAGCCACCGGCCUCAACAAUUUUUUUUCUAACUAGUAAUUUCCAGAGCAAGUGCCACAGUGUCAGCUAAAGAAACACAACUGCGGGUUUUCUGCAGAGCGAAAUGGUUCUGAAAUGUCACUGAAUGGCUCACAAAGGACGCCAAUCUACGACAACAGAGACAUAAGCAUAUAGGAGAAAGGGCCCACACAUCCUCCUUUCAAAGGUCACAUAAAGCUUACUGCAGGUCAGGAAAUGUCUUCUGUUUCCAAAGCAUCUCACAGGAUGUGGAGAAAAGAGAGAGAAAGGGAGAGAAGAGUCAUGGACCCUACUUUAUGGUUGCCAUGGAGGCAAGGUCAGCCUUCCACACUUGGAUCUACCAGCAGAGUUCAGACAGGUCAACGUGUGACCGGCUCAGGCCCUGGGGUUAAAAGUUCAAGCAGCGAUGGAAAAACCAAUAUGUCCACGCAGAAUAUGCUGUACAAUUUAUUUCAAUUUACAUCAAGCCAUGCAUAUAAAAUUUAGAUAAAUUCCAUUCAAAUCUGAUGUUGCCUGACACACAAUGUAUGCAAACAGAUGUCUGUGGGGCUUUUUCUGUGCUUUAGAAAACAACAUUAAAUUUAAAAAUAUGUCUCUGGGAUUUCUUUAUUGAAUUACAAAUUGAACAUAAUUUUAACUUAAAUGUUUUCAUUCUUUCUUCCAAUUUUUUUUUGUGGGGGUCUUAAUAAUUUCUCAGUUCUCAAUCUACUCUAUGUCAUAUUAAAGAGGAUAAUGUAUAUUUACAA